GUUGUACUCUCUUUUUAUGCCAUUUUAGGCAUACAUAACUGUUUUUUUGUUGUUGUUGUUGUUUGUUUGUUGUUUUCUCUCCAGAGCUCCUACUUUUAAGAAGUGCAAGUGAAUCUUCAGCUAUUUUGCUUACAGAGUACUUAUGGGAAAGAGGAAUGUGUAUGUUCGCAGCUAAACUUUUGUCCAUCAUAGUUUCACAGUGAUAACCUGAAGCCCAUUUGGACACAGAUCAGGACUUUGGUUGGGUAUUACUGUCCACUGCAUAGUUAACCCAUCCAUGGCCCCAGAGAUUUUCCUCUUGAAGCCAAUCCAACAUGGUAAGGAAGAGACCCUACACCGUGAGGAAUCAGGGCAGUCUGGCUUUGGAGUUCAGAACCAGAUGGCUGGAAGCUUCAUUGCUAUUUAACAAAGACUUUUGGUACUAAGACAAAUGCCAAGAUCUGCAGGCAGCCCAACUUUCAGUAACUUCCUCGAUACUUUUGAGUCAUCAUUAAUACCAUCCCACUCAAGAGAUAUUCCUAGGUGUACCCCUCUUCCCAGCACUUUUUUUAAUCAUAUACUUUUAAUUUGCUUUAACCCUGCUGGCAAUUAACCUUUCACCCUGUAAUGUGAUGGAAAGUACAGCAACAAUAGCAGAGUAGCACAAUCCUUGGCUAUAGCAAAUGAGAACAACCCCAAAUGCAGCAACUGUGGUUGCAGAAAUGAAAGAAAAAAAACUGCUUACCUUUGUAAGGCCUCCAGUAGAAAGAAAUCUACAACAAGAUACCCUUCCCUCCACUGCCAACCCUUAAAUGAGGUCUGGGAAGGGUGGAUCCUGGCUCUACCUCUUCUGGUCACUCACGUUCAUUGCAUGCACCUGAGCUCCCCUGGGUUGGCCCUGCCUUCCCACCAGGUGCUCAAUCACUUUUUCAGGCUGUGACUUAGCAUUUCCGCUAUACCCCUGGAACUCUUUUCUCGUAAUUCCUGGCAAGCUCCAUUCAGUGCUGUAAUCUAUGUGAGCUGUUUAAACCCUUCUGCUUUUCCAUGGCAGUUUUCAAAGACUGGAGAUCUUUGAGCAGUCUCCUGUGAAGUUUUAGCAGCCUCUUCCCGCUCCCUAUUGCUGUGUUGGGCAAGGGGCGGCAGUCUGCUUUCUUCUUUCAUGCCAUUUCUGAGCAAUUCUUCAGUGUUGUGCUUCUCCCUGACUGAUCAAAGCCUUUCCCACUGUGACCUUUGAUCAAGCAGUAAAAGAUUUCUAGCAGAGCAUCAGCCCCUUCUGAUUGCUGUAUGAGGUGGGUCAGCCAGUACCCAGGGCAGCGUGGGGGUAGUGGAAGUGCUUGCUUGAGCAAGGCUGGCAGGGGUUGCCCGUUUGUCUCCUAAGUAUUUUCCAGUUUACUGCAUGGCAAGGUUAAUUGCUGCUGUGUGCUCUGACUCUGUUUUUCACCACGUCGAAUUCCCUGUGUUGCUGGUGUCAACACCAUUCUCACCUGUUCAGGUUGCCCAGAAGCACUCAUAAGACAAACAUGAGCUGAGAGAUACAUGCUAUCUAUCUGUAUGCUAUGUAUAUGCAUGUAAAUAUAUGUAUACUUAUGAAUCUUUCAUACAUGUUUAUGUGUGUAUGUAUAUAUGUUAAUCUAUAUCUCAGCAUGCUUGUGUGAAGACAUUUUCCUCACUGGCAGAAUUUGAACUCCAAGUGGACUGUUGUCUGUCUGACAUAGGGCAUGAUGGAAGAAUACUUCUUUUGCCUCUGUUGAAAAUGAUUGACCAUUGGUUCAGUCAAAUGCUACAGAGCAUUAAUGAGAUGUUGGCUUUGUAUGCCAGCCAAGAUAUUAUGGACGUGCCAUGUAAGAUGGACACACGCUUGGGCUCCACAUGGUUCGCUGAAGGCAGCUGCUCUUGGCAGGUGGGGCAAGGCAGGAACACUUAAUCUUUCAUUGAAUGCUGAUUAAAUUUGCAGAACGGGGUACAACUGGAAAAAAUAUGAGUGACCAAAGAGGUGAAACUGAUGCUGUGUUCACAGGUAGAGCCUUAGGAAUUAUCUGAACAGAAAAGGACGCUAGCUGGUAAGAGUUAGCAGCACCCAAACUCCUCCCUGGUUUAUGAUUUCCUUUGGUUUCUCUUUGUUUUGCUCAAUCUGCAAUCAUUACAUGAGCAUAAUAUCUGCUGACGGAAAUUCCCUAGAAAACCUCAUUAUUUAAUGCAAAAUAAUAUCUUCAUCAACAGCUCUGAAGCAGGUGGUUUCUCACAUGUUGCCACUAUUUCCAAAGUCAUCAUUGUUGUUUUUUUUUUUCCUUAAUGAAGAAAGUUAAAAAAAAGCCCACUAAACAACAAUAAGAAGUUCUGCUUUUGAUUAACAAGGAAAAAAAAAGUUUAAUUUCUAAAGAUGUCUCUAUAUUAUUAACUCAAUUAUCAGAAGGGAUGGUUGAAUGAGCAGACAAUUAAAAGAAGGAGAAGCUCAGAAGGAAAAGUUCAUCAGUGUAUUAGGCAGACAAUGGGGGAAAGUAAAACUAUUUCAAGUGCUAUUUGAAGGAAGCCAUUUGGGAAAGAAAUAGGAUUAAUUAAGUUUUGAACCGGUUAAUUUUGUUAUCUAAAAAUAUUUCACAGAUUAACCACUAUAACGUACUUAUGCAUGAGGUAAUGUCUGAGCUCCUUCAGCAGUGCUGCUCUCGAUAAAGGUACUUUAAAUCAACAUGGCACUCCAGACUUUCCAGAGCCCAUGGUGUACUCUGCAGCUGAGAUUAACAUGGGGCUUUGAGACAUCCACAACAGAGAGGUCUGAACUGUGCAGCAGUAUUCUGCUGUCUGUCACAGUGUCAGCUGAAUCCCGCUAAACUCAAUGAGAGGCAAUGGCUUUGUUGCCUCUCACGGGGAGUGAUCUUUAGGCUUUAUCACCUCCUCCGUCUCCCUGUAUAGACCCUGUCUGUUUUCAUUGUAAGCAUCAGUCUAAAAUAUCUUUGUAGAGCUAGAGCAGUGACUUGGAGGAUCUGCUGUCACCACAACUACCCCAAAGAGGAAUCUCUUUCCUUUUGCAAUUUAUUCCCAUUGCCCCUUCCUUGGAGCUUGUGUACAUGUAGCUACAGGGAUGCUCCAAGUGCUCCUUCAUCUACAUAAUUCAGGUAAACUCUUCCCUUCCCAUUCUUUUUCCUGUUCUCCUUGAGAAAAUGUCUGUAACCUUUUCCUUCCAUGGAUUUUUGUCCCUUACAUUUUUGUUUUUUGGGCUGAUCCUGAGCUGACAGUGGGAAGACAGUUUUCCCUGACUUUGGCUCAGACCUCCAAGACAGCCCUGUAUUCCAGCUCUCAGUAUGGUUUCCAC
ensembl:lncRNA